UCGCGCGCACGGGCUGACGUGGCGGUGGGUGCAGUACGUGCGCGCCGGUUCCUCCUCCGGCCUCGGCCGGGAAACGUUAGGGAGGAGGUUUUCAGACCGCUCACCUCUCACUCCUCGAGCGCGAAACGGGGUGGGAAAGGUGAAAUUGGGGUCAGGGUUUCUGCCUGGCGAGAAAGAAGGCGUCUGCAUAGGGUCAUUUUGAGCAUGUUUUGUGCGCAGUCAUGCAAAGUUACAGGCCGGUCCCUUCCGCCUGGGGAAUGGCCUGUCUCCGCUGAGUGAAAAUGCCGUAUUUAUCCGUUAAUCAGAAACGCAUCGAGCAGGUAUCACUAGCCCAGCACCGCUCACCUCUGGGAAGUAAUAGUGCCCCGACCCUUGACGGACUAGCAGUGGGAGGAGGGACGCAAUAAGUAAAUUAGCAAGUUUAUUUCAUAUCGGUAAAGUAAAAAAGUUGGUGAGACCAAGAUUGGUGAAUAGGGAACACUCAGAGAAGGUGAGUUUUGAGCUGAGACCUAAAAGGUGGGGACAGGCUGGAGAGAGUAACGAGGCAAGAGCUCAGAAGCUCUGCAGCAGAACAGAUUUUGCAUAGUUUGAAAAUACUUGAGUGGUAGCUUUACAUUCAGCACACAUCACAAACAAGAAAAAUGAGUGUUAGUGGAAAAAAAAUCAAUUUAUCAGGUCCUUUGCUACAGCCUUUUAUUACUGGCCAACAAUUUUUUUGAAUAUUUUAUUUAAAAAAUUUUUGUAAUGUUUGUUUAUUUUUGAGAGAGAGAGUGUGAGCAGGAGAGGGGCAGAGAGAGAGGGAGACAGAAAUCUGAAGCAGGCUCCAGGCUCUGAGCUGUCAGCACAGAGCCCAACUCCAGGCUCCAACCCACGAGCCAGGAGAUCAUGACCAGAGCUGCAGUUGGAAGCUUAACCCACUGAGGGACCCGACCCAGGCGCCCCUGAGUAUUUUAUUUUUUUAAGUAAUCUCCACACCCAGCGUGGGGCUUGAACUUACAACUCCGUGAUCAAGAGUCGGGUGCUCUACUGACCCAGGUGCCUCUUGACCAACAAUUUUAAUGUUUAAUCAGUAACUAUUAUACCUCGAACUUGAAAGCCAUUUAAACUGAAUCUAAUUACUCAAGCCCUUGGUAUGAAAUUAAGAUGAGUUCGGAAAAAAAUCAGAAAGCAGCAGUGGGAUACAUUGUUACAAAUUUUUUACACGUUUUGUAAAAAUGGAUGGUGCAUGUGAAUGAAUGACAGAAUACUACAUCCGGGAACAAUGAACCCACAACACAUACACACAAAAAGCCUUUUCCUCUCAUUCGUUCUACCAGAGCGAAGAGGUUUUUCUAUGUAACUAAAUGUAUCACUGUAAAGAAAGAAAACUUAGGAAAUGCAAACAUAGACCAAAAAAAAAAAAAAAAAAUCACAAAUUCUAAAAGAGGUUACUUAAAAAUUAGCUUCAGAGUUCUUUCUCCAAAAUGCUUGGGCCACUCUAAAUUAAACUUACCCUCCUCCCCCAAAAUAAGAGCCAGACAGAGUUGAACAACAAGUACUAAGAAGCUACAGGAACUGUUUUAUGGGGCAGGAUCAAGAGACUCGUUUGUGUAUAUGAUAAUUAAGUCAGAAUUAAAGAGCUUAACAUAAGAGCAAGCAUAGCUUUUAAAUGCCGUAGAUAGAAAACUAUUUAGUAGGCCACAGAGAGAUGUGACGGAAUAAAAUAAAAGGAAACCUGGCCUAAAUAUCAGAAAAAGCUUUUCAAUUAUUACCUUUGCGUUAUAUAUCAAAGAAGAUGGUAAAAUGAUCUCAUGGGUUAUUGCUCAUUAUGUGGUAGACCUAAAACAAGACAAACUCUAGAAAAUUUGGAGAAAAAAUGAAAUUCAAUAUUUCUGCAUCUUCAUUCUUUUCCCUUUCAAGUUAAAGUGUAUGAAACAUUUGGUAAUAUAAUAGCCAAUGAUCAUUUAAGUGCAUUAAAUACAAUUAUUUAGGCUCUAGUACUGUAUUUGUGAACAGUCCCAACUUCCAGAAUAAAUUUAUUAAAUGUAGCCAGUAGGUAUUAAAUACCAGCUAAUAGCCAUAAUGUUGGAUGUUGGGCAUAAACGAUGCAAGACACCUGUUUCCAAGGAGUUGAUGAUUCCCUGGUGAAGAUAGAGGAGUACACAGUGAGGAACAAGAGCAUCUACCUAUCUACGUGAGGCUCUCAAUCUACUUAAGCCCCAGCAUGCAAAUACUAAAGAAGAAACAAUAAUGCUCUUCUCCCAAAGCUCCUAAUUGCACUGGUCUUGAACCUCCAGCUGUACUGAAGUUCAUUUGUGCCUUUCUGAGAUAUGGGACGCCCCCAGCCAAAAACCAGCUAGUGCACGGAGGCCUCGCUCCCACGACUGCAAGGAACUGAAUUCCAUCAACAACUUGGAUGAGCUUGGAGGGAAAUUCUUCUGCAGAGCCUCCAGAAAGGAAUACAGCCUUGCCAUCCCAGGACUUCAGCCUGACAAGGGCCUGAGCAGAGGCCCAGUCAUUACACGCUUGGACCUCUGGUCUAUAGAACUGCACGGUGAUAAAUGGGUGUUGUGUGAAGCCAGUAAGUUUGUGGCAACUUGUUACACGACAAUAGAAAACUAAUACGGAGACCUUAACAAAUUUUCUCCAUAUUAACUUCUAGAAAAAGAAGAAAGAAACACAAAUGGAGUCUAACAUUCUAAAGUGACUUUGCUUUGCAUGAAAUGAAAACAAAGGUACAGCUCAGUAGAAGAAAAGGGCAAGACUGUGUAAGGUUUAACUUUACAAAUUCAGACUGUCCAAGCAAAAGCCCUUUAGAAGGAAUCUGAGACUAUGAACGUGUUACAGUACUCCACACUGGUGUUUUUAGAACUAGGGGUUAAGUUUCAUUUCCUAGGGAAUUUAGAAUUAUAAAUACACCUCAGUUCAUCCAAUAAGCAUGCCAGAUUUGGAGCCAGUUGGCUUCAUUUGGAGCCAAAUGGCUCCCAGCUUUGCCAUUUAUUAGCACUAUGAUAUUGGGCAAGUGAUCUCUCUGAGCUUCCAUUUUCUCACCUGUGAAAUAUGCAUGAGUCGGGCAAGGUUUGAAGGAGAUACGACCCCAAGCGCCCUUCACACUGUCCUUGAUACAAGCUCUCAAGAAGUCUUUUUCAUACAUGGACAUGUAAGAGAGAUCAAAUAAUCAAUGCAUGAAAUAUUCACAGCCUCUUUCUGCCCUCUCAACUGCUAACAUCAUCUACCGACUAGUGGCAUUUCCCCCUAUGUUCCUCCCCUUUUUUCCCACUUAUACCUUCUUAAAUACAUAAGGUAAUCAGUUGGGAGGACAGCUGGAAAAGUCAGGUGGGAGAAUCAAGUAGCAAAGGGCUGAGAUGAGAGAGGAGAAUAGAGGGGUAGGGGGAAAAGGCUAACGGGGAAGCAAAGGAAAGAGGAGAGAGGAGACGACAACAAGAGGAGCUUUUUGUAAGAGGAGGAGGGAGAUUUCAGAACCCGUGCCGCUGAAUGGGAGUGAUGUUCACAAAAACACGGAGGGAGUCCACACCAGUGUGAACAAAUGAUUGGAUAAGUAAAUAAAUGGAAGAGAAUAGACACGUUUCCCAGGAAGAAGAAUUCAAAUAGUUUGUGUAGACGCUUUGGCUUGGAGGAGGUGCAGCAUAACUCCCCGCUCCUUCAGCGUGGGCCAUGCACAGUGACUGGUAGCCAAAGCGGAAAGCGUAGAAAGGAGGAAGGAGAGUAACUUUACAGCAGAGAAACCUGGCACACACUGCCUCAGCCAGGUGAUGAAGGUUAGCACCUCCAUGUACCCUUGAUAUGAUGUGAUGACAGGAGCACUUCUCCCCACAACGCAUGGACCAGUCUAAUGAGCAAAACAUCAGACAAAAACAAACUGAAGGGCGGUCCAUGGAAGUCCUGGCCAGCAUGCUUCAAAACUGCCAGGGUCAUCAAAAGCAAGGGAGGUCUGAGAAACCGUCACAGCCAAAAGGAGCCUAAGGAAACAUGUUGACUAAAUAUAGUGUCAUCCUAAAUGGGAUCCUGGAACAGAACCCAGAAAAUAAGUAAAAAGCUAAGGAAAAAAAAUAUGGACUUUAGUUACUAAUGUGUCAGUAUUGGUUCGUGAGUUGUGACAAACGUAUCAUAUUGAUGUAAGAUGUUAACAAAAGAGGAAAAUGGUUGAGGGGUAUAUGGUAGGUAACUUUAGAUACUAUCUUUGUAACUUUUCUGUAAAUCUAAGACUAUUCUAAAAUAAAAUAUUUAUCCCAGACUUUGGCACCAAAAAAAUUUAAAAAAAUGAUGAAAGAAAAAUAAAAUAUCUAUUUAUAAAAUAGGGGAAAGGGAUUUUAAGACCUAUCACUGUAGGUAAUGAAUUAUAUCAUCUUUAAUAUUCUUUGAAAAAUGCAAAUACAGGGGCACCUGGGUGGCUCAGUCGGUUGAGCGUCCGACUUCGGCUCAGGUCAUGAUCUCAUGGCUGGUGAGUUCGAGCCCUGCGUCCGGCUCUGUGCUGACAGCUCAGAGCCUGGAGCCUGCUUCGGAUUCUGUGCCUCCCUCUCACUCUGCCCUAACCCACUCGCAUUCUAUCUCUGUCUCUCUCAAAAAUAAAUAAACAUUUAAAAAAUUAAAAAAAAAAGAAAAAUGCAAAUACAGAUCAGAAUUUAUCUCAAUUACAUUUUCAUGCUGAUCUGUUUCUUCUAAUACAACACAGUUUGAAAGCUGGGCUUUUGGGGCCUGGGAUCUACUCAGGUUCCAAUAUCAGCACCCUAAAACUAUGGAUGCAGAACGUAAGAAGGAUGACUUUCCCUUGGGAAUGUUCUGAAAGCCUCACAUAAUCUGGAAGCCAGUUAACCAUCAGCAAAGAGUGUCAAGGCAUUUGACUAAAGCCCCUUUCAGAGGUGACUUCUUGGGCCCCAAGCAAGCCUGGAAUCCCUGAAAAGAGCUGACAUCCCGACAUAUGCCUAACCUCUUAUUAAAUACAAGUAAGGAAAAAUGAUGAAAAGAAAAGCCACAUUUGGCUCACAGGGAUCUGGGAAUUGGAACAUCUAUAGAAGAUGUUGGGGUGCCUUACCUACAUGCCCAGGGAGUUGGGGCAUUUCCAAAUCCAUAUGAGUGCCAAUAACAUCUUAACUCUUUUCCCAGGGAGCAAAGAGCAAGCAGGCUGUGCAAAUAAGACAUAGCAGGCCUCAGCCAGCUAUCCUUAGAAAAGCCUACUGAUAAGGUAGGCCCUUGGCUGGUAUCUGUGAACUUGGAUUUCGGGAGUGCUCCCACCAUUCCUGGAAUUGAUAAGAAUGACUAUCUAGACUCCUUGCACAAACAGUGGGGUUCAUGCUGAAUACCUGUUUCCUUCUGAGAGACUGGAAUUUGGGUACUUGCUCGGCAGAAGGUGCCACUUGACUGUCCCCCAAUAAAAACCUGCCUGUCUCUAACGAGCUUCCUUCUUCAAUAAUAUUUCACUUGUGUUGUUACAACUUGUUGCUGGAGGAAUAAAACAUGUCCUGUGUGACUCCACUAGGAGAGGACUUUUAGAAGCUGGCCUACUGGCCUACUUCCCUUUGGAAAUCACCCCCAUGUGCCUUUUCCCCUUGCUAUGAAUCCUAGCCAUGAGCACAGCAGUGUGCUGAAUCCUGCGGGGCCCCCUAAGAAAUCAUUGGGUCUGGGAGUGAUCUAUAAUAUUAACAUAAAGAUUUUUCUUGAUUCAAACUUUGGGAAAGGCACAGAAGAAAGUAUGAUUAGUUCCAUUUGAUCACUGAGGAAGCAAGUACACAGAAAGUAGCAAAAUGAGAGAUUUGGCAGCCAAGAUGGCAGAGGUGACAUCUGAACUCAGGCUUGUAUGUUUCCACACCCUCCAACCCCCUUCCAUCUAUGACAGGCAGCAUCUUAUUGCUUAAGGUUAGAGAUACCUCCCCUUCUCCGUGCCCUCUACUCAUUUUCCCUCAACUCUAUGAACCUGUCUGGCAGGUCUGACAGCCCCCAGCAGUGAAAUGGAAGGGAGGGAGGCAUGCGUUCUUUCCCCACCCCUGCCCUGUGUCCUGAGCCUGGCCACAGCCUCAUUAUCCUUCUCCCCGCCACAAGGGGCUGCUCCCUAACUCAUUCACUGAGAAAAUCGAGUGCCUAGCAGGCAUCAGGGACUGCAGGAGACACAGCAUGAACAAGCCAACCAGGAACAAGGAGAGGCAAUACACAUAAGGUGCUUUCGUGCUCUUCUACUUCUGAGAUUGUCUCCUUUUUCCCUUUCCUCAAGUUUGGAUCUCUAGGUCUGAAAUCCCAGAAGCAAUAGAUCUGGUCAGGCCCUCCCCCACCCCUUCUCUGUUUUCCCACCUGAUUGUAAGGUGGUCACAGGCACAAGUUCUGCUGAGGUUAUCUGUGCACCCAUCUCCCCAGCCUUUGGCCCAUUUCACAGUGUGCUUUGCAAAUGUUUGCACUCUGUGCAAGGGAAGUGGAGUUUUCCUGAUCCUAUACCCCUGCCAAUGUAAUGGAAAAUGAUUCCCCAAGCCCAAAUACCACAGAAAAUUAUAUUAUGUACUUGGAGCUAAAUGUGUCCCUGUAAGAUUCAGCAAAUGACCUUGGUGAGGUGGGAAGGACAGGAGAUCCAGGGCCUGUGGAUUUAACAUAUUUUCUCAUUUUUUCUGUGUACUAUCUUUCAUCAAAUCUAGAAAUGCCAUCAGUGAUUAAGCACAUCAUUUUAUCUACCAUACAUUUGAAAACAUUUUCAAUUAUAAUUGUAGGAUACA